UACGAGGGGGCAAGCGUUGUUCGGAAUUAUUGGGCGUAAAGGGUGCGUAGGCGGUUUGACAAGUCUGAUGUGAAAUCCCGGGGCUCAACCCCGGAACUGCAUUGGAUACUGCCUUGCUUGAGUACUGGAGAGGAGACUGGAAUUUACGGUGUAGCAGUGAAAUGCGUAGAUAUCGUAAGGAAGCCAGUGGCGAAGGCGAGUCUCUGGACAGUUACUGACGGCUGAGGCACGAAAGGCCAGGGGAGCAAAACGGG
rnacentral:rRNA from 1 species